GAUGAACGCUGGCGGCGUGCCUAAUACAUGCAAGUCGAGCGAACAGAUAAGGAGCUUGCUCCUUUGACGUUAGCGGCGGACGGGUGAGUAACACGUGGGUAACCUACCUAUAAGACUGGGAUAACUUCGGGAAACCGGGGCUAAUACCGGAUAAUAUUUCGAACCGCAUGGUUCGAUAGUGGAAGAUGGUUUUGCUAUCACUUAUAGAUGGACCCGCGCCGUAUUAGCUAGUUGGUAAGGUAACGGCUUACCAAGGCGACGAUACGUAGCCGACCUGAGAGGGUGAUCGGCCACACUGGAACUGAGACACGGUCCAGACUCCUACGGGAGGCAGCAGUAGGGAAUCUUCCGCAAUGGGCGAAAGCCUGACGGAGCAACGCCGCGUGAGUGAUGAAGGUCUUCGGAUCGUAAAACUCUGUUAUUAGGGAAGAACAUACGUGUAAGUAACUGUGCACGUCUUGACGGUACCUAAUCAGAAAGCCACGGCUAACUACGUG
rnacentral:rRNA from 1 species